UUUACGAAUCUGCCAUACAGCCGCUUCCUGUUUUCACAUUUACCAUACAACCACUUCCUGUUUUCACAUCUGCCAUACAUCCACUUCCUGUUUUCACAUCUGCCAUACAGCCACUUCCUGUUUUCACAUCUGUCAUACAGCCACUUCCUGUUGUCACAUCUGCCAUACUGCAACUUCCUGUUUUCACAUCUGUUAACCAGCCACUUCAUGUUUUCACAUCUGCUAUACUGCAUCGUCCUGUUUUCACAUCUGCCAUACUGCAACUUCCUGUUUUCACAUCUGUCAUACAGCCACUUCCUGUUUUUACAUCUGCCAUACAGCCACUUCCUGUUUUCACAUCUGUCAUACAGCCACUUCCUGUUGGUUGAUAGUUUGAAAUAAUACAACACUCAUUGUACAAUGAACAUUUCUUUUUCUUUGCAUCUAUAUGGAAGGGAAUGCUUUUAUAUCUGAUGAGCAGCUUGGUAAUGUUGAUUUGUAGAAUGUUAGCAAUUUUUGUUUCUACAGUGCAACUUCUUUCUGUUAACCAAUAGUUUGAAAUUAUACAACAUUGAUUGUACAGAGAAAAUGUUCAUGGAAAUGCAUGUUAUGAUAAACAAUGAUACAAGUAUGCCUAGAUAAAAAAACAAAGAUAUAAACAAUUACAGGACGUCCAUCAGCCUUCAACAAUAAGCAAAACCAAUGCCAUACGAUGAUGAGGAGUUGUAGUAUGAUUAACAAUGAUACAAUUAUUCCUUAUCCAUAGGACACAGUUAUAAACAAUAACAGGACGUCCAUCAGCCUUCAACAAUGAGCAAAACCCAUACCAUAUAAUCAUCUAUAAAAAGCCUUGGUAUGAUAAAAUGUAAAACAUUUCAAAUGAAAAAACGCACAGCCUACUACAACAAUGAAGUAAAAACAAAUAUGGUACAAAAUUAUAGGUCCUGGCUGCAGACAGGCACAUAAAGAAUAAAAAAAAAUAUUGAAUUUAAUGUAGAUAUAGGAAGAUGUGGUGUGAGUGCCAAUGAGACAACUCUCCAUCCAAAUAACAAUUUAAAAAUUAAACCAUUAUAGGUUAAAGUACGGCCUUCAACACGGAGCCUUGGCUCACACCGAACAACAAGCUAUAAAGGGCCCCAAAAUUACUAGUGUAAAACCAUUCAAACGGGAAAACCAACGGUAUAAUCUAUAUAUGACUGUUCUAGUUGAUUAUAGACAGUGUUUCGAGAAGCUGAAAAAUGAUAUUUAAUAUUCAGAUAUUUUUCUGUGUGUCUUAAUGCUGGUAUAUAAAACUUUUGAAAUUGCUAGGUCUGGGAAAAAAGUGCAAUAGAUGUUCUGGUGUUCGAUGGAAAGAGUCCCACCCUGUUUGUAGAAUACAUUUGUACCUCAUUUAGGCUAUAAUGGAGGAUUGGAAUAGUGUAAGAUUUACUUAAUAGUCUCCUUGCCAUUUGUUGUUUUGUUCCCCAUUAUUGUACAAUUAGUUUUAGCCGCUAUAAUGGAGGAUUGGAAUGAGAAACUUAUUACAGCUGCUUGGAAGGGAGAUAUAGAAGCCUUAAAAUUAAGCCUACAGAAUGGUGCAGACAUUGAUUAUCUAGAUGU